UUCUGGGGUAGGUGACUGUACCGGCUGGUUUGCCUGUCAACUUGACACAAGCUGAAGUUAUCACAGAGAAAGGAGAAUCAGUUGAGGAAAUGUCUCCAUGAGACUAAUAUGCAGGGCAGUGAUCUCAACUAGUGAUCAAGAGGGGAGGAUCCAGUCCAUUGUGGGUGGUGCUGUCCCUGGGCUGGAGUUCCUGGGUUCUAUAAGAGAGCAAGCUGAGCAAGCCAGGGGAAGCAAGGCAGUAAGUAACAUCCCUCCAUGACCUCUGCACCAGCUCCUGUUUCCUGACCUGCUUGAGUUCCGGUCCUGGCUUCCUUUGGUGAUGAACAGCAAUGUGGAAGUGAAGAAGAGAGGAACCUGGCAGCUGGUUUGGUCCAAGCAUGGUGGCUUUCCCUGUGCUCUGCUGGAGGCAUAAACUCCUUGAACUAAAAAUAGCCAAGAAAACAACUAUAAUUGCUUCCUUGCUUCCUACAAAGGAUUGAACAAAAGUGCUCAGGCCCUCCUGGGCGAUCAUAAAGAAGUUUUAAAAUUUCAAAUUACACUAAAUAGCACAACAUCAGAAAUAUUCCAAUACUGCUCUUCCCAGAAUUCUAUUCACCUUCAACCAAGCAGCAAGGCUUAGCACAUGGCUCACCCAACCACAGAGCUCAAAGUUGUUUCCAGAGGUCCCCAUGCUACAGCAGCUUGGCUCUUUCAACUUGGAAUCUGGGCACUGAAGCAUAUUCUCCAGCCCAAUCAACAAAGGCACGGACUCAGAACAAGUGAGCGACUGACAAAAUACUAGAGUGACCCUAAGUGCUUGGAGAUAUCUGAUGGUCAGAGAGGGCGGC